CCUGAGAUGACUUCCUAGCAGUGCCAAGCUACACAAGGCGUGAUGUCCAGUCCACUGGGUGCCUUAGUAUGAGAAACAAAAAUGACAGGACUAGGACAAGUAAUUCCAGGAAUCACACAGGCGUAGCUGGAGCGAUCCAAGAAGAGGAUCAGUUGGGAGAAGAGGCACUCUGUAAGUCAGACUGGUGGCUCGUUUCAUGCCCUGUAGACCUAAACCAAAGCUGAAGAGUGUCUUUUCCAAUAAAGCAUGAGCCAGAGAA
rnacentral:lncRNA from 1 species